rnacentral:rRNA from 1 species
AGGACACGCCGAGCACUUGAGCUUCUAACGCACAUUGCGGCUUUCGGGUCUUUUCCGAGGUCACAUCUGUCUGAGA